rnacentral:lncRNA from 1 species
GAGUAAGUAAAAUGAAAUGUAAAUAAAUGCCUAAUUAGGUGUCCAUGAAAAACUGAAGAGUCUCCAAAGUUGUUAGAGAUGACUGUACUUGGAAGGCAGCUUCUUAGACUAAGAAUCAGUGCUUUCAUAACCUUCACGGAGGAGGCUGGAAGAUUCCGCAGAGGUCUCCAGAAGACUGGUUAACUUGGAUGAAACCAUUGAAGACAAUCAGGUAUGACAUCAUUCCCAUGGUUGAGGUCCUCUGGAGCAGAAGUUCUAGAACUUCUUAGGGCCAUUCUAGUAGAAUAGAAUACUCAGAAAUCACCCCCACUUCUGCUGAGGGUGGGGUGGGAACAGGCACAGGGAGAGGAAACUUUAUCACAAGGAAUGAGCAAAAUGGAACUGAUUUUGAUAAAGGCAUUGUAAGUAUUCAGUUAACAUUAGAACCAUGAAGAUACGAUCUUGUCUCAACCAAUAUUAUAAAAGUCCACAGACCAAGCAGAUCAAGUAGACUUUAAACCAUAAAUUGAAACCUUCUACUCAACAGGAACACUAGAGAGCUCUUUUCUCUAGCACUCAGGCAUUAAAGCUGUUGCUACUUCUCCCGUCUUUCCACCCCAUACUUGCCUACAAAAUAACGUCCAAAUUUCUUAGCAUGCAUCAAGGCCCUUUAAGAUCCACCCCAUUCUCCUUUCCCCAGCUUACCUCUCACCAUGUCUUAACCUGUCCCCUUAUACAUCAUGCAGUCUGUACUCGGUCUAGUUAUACCCUUUUAUCCAAAGUCUCUGAAUGGCAAAAUCAUAUUCAUCUUUCAGAAUCCAGUUCAAAUUACACUUCCUUCCCUAAAGAGUUCAUGAUUUCUCCUUUGUGUGUUACAGACACAUUUCAAGCGUCUACUUUAGCACUUAUCUGAUCAAGGGUAUCAGGAGGGCAGUUCUCCCUCGGCUUAUGGUUAGAUACAUCUGCACAGAUCUAGAAGACAAUGGUUUGCACGCAGGAAUUGUGCUCAUAGGGCACUGAGAGGGCUAACUGAGUAGGUAACAAGCCCCAGGAUGACAGGGGAAGGGAGAAUUGGAGUACAGUGUGGUGUUGGUCUCCUGUAUCUGUCCCUAGCCUACCCCCACAGACAUAUGCCUGGGUCAUAUAGACUGGGAUUGAGAGUGUGAAUUCUAAAGCUCUGUGUCUGGAUUCAAAUUUCACUUCUGUUACAUACUAGUUGCCUUGAAUGAGUCAGUUAACCUCUCUAGCUUCAGGGGAGAUGGUAAUAAUAGCGCUCCUGCCUCAUGGUUCUGUCAUGAGAAUUAUACAAGUUAAUGAAUACAAAGCUCCCAACAGUGCUUGUCACACAAUAAGCAUCAUAUAAUAAGCAUCAGCUAUUAUACUUAGGAAGAGAGAUGACAGUUAAGUAAAAAACUGAAAAUCCUAUAAGGCCUUAGGGCACAUGCAGCACUAACUUGGAACCACUAAGUUGAAAGAAAACAAAAAUAGGUGUUCUUCCCAACUCCACCAUUGGCCAGAAGCAGCAUGGCGCUUUGAAGUGGUGGCAUCUAUUGGGACUGGAAAUAGAGGGCUCCAAUGCUUGACAGGGGCAGCUGUGCUCAGAGGGGUCAAUUCUCAGCAGAGACAGAAGCAGUGCCCAUCAGGAGCAAUGGCCAUCACUGUGUGGCCUUUGUCAUACCCAGAGGUGAUGUUGCAAGACAUCCAAGGUGUCGGGUGCGUGCAGAGCAAUGUAAGUGAUAGAGGAGCCUGGUUCAAGUGAAGCCACCCAGUGGACACGGCAACUGUCAACAAAGACAGGGAUGGCAGCAUAAGAAGGGUCAGGACUCCGUGGACCCCACGAGGUGAGACAUCAGACUUACCCACAUGGAAAUAUUUUCUGGGUCACCCAAAAAUACUUGGGAGGAGGGCUUUUGCCAGGGUGCAGAGGUCCUCUAGGGUGCAAUGUGAUCAAUUCCUCAAAUUAUCAUUGGUGUGGCUUUAUUUUUACAGAAAGGGAAUACUAAGACACCAUUAAAAGCACAAGCUUUGGUUUCAGACAGACUUGUGCUUCAACUGAAAGUAUUUACUAAGUAUCUAUUCUAUGCCCCGGGCUCUGGUCUGGUCGUGGAAAUACCACAGUGAACAAGGCAAAUAGGAUUCCUCCUCACAUAGAGCUACCUUAGAGAGGGGACACAGACAAAUAACAAGAAAACAAAUUAAUGGGAUCUUGCCUGUUUAAGAGCCAUGAAGGCAAUAAAAUAGAUGAUAUGGUGUACAGAUUGGGUGGAGAGAGCUGCUUACAUAUGGCAGCCAACUAAAGUCUCUCCAUCACAGUGAGGGCUAAUAGCCAGGAAGAGGCAGCUCAGGGAAGAUCUGGAGAGAGUGUGGGACCCUAAGAUAGGGAGACUUGGCAUAUUAGAGGAACAUAAAGAGGGACAGUAAGUCCGAGGGCGCCUGGGUGGCUCAGUCGGUUAAGCAUCCGACUUUAGCUCAGGUCAUGAUCUCACUGCUCCUGAGUUCGAGCUCCACGUGGGGCUCAGUUGCUGACAGCUCAGAGCCUGGAAUCUGUUUCAGAUUCUAGGUCUCCCUCUCUCUCCAUCUCUCCCUGACUCGUUCUCUCUCUCUCUCUCAAAAAGUAACAAACAUUAAAAAAUCAAAAAAAAAAAAAAAAAAGGAUAGUAAGUCCAAAACAAGGGUCAGCAAACUACAGUGUGGGGGCCAAAUCCAGCCGGCUACCUGUUUAUGUAAAUAAAGUUUUAUUAGAACACAGCCCACACUCAUUUGUUGUCUCUAGCUGUUUUCGUGCUAUAAUAGCAGAGUUGAGUGCUAUAAUAGUAGAAAUGAAUAGUUGCCACAGAGGCUGAAUGGCCUGCAAAACCUGUAAGAUUUAAUAUCUGGCCCUUUACACAAUGUGUGCCAAUCUCUGGACUAAAGCCUAGUGAACAAGCUGGGUGAAAGCCGUAGGAACUGAAGUUUAAGGGGUGCCGGGAGGCAGCAAACUGCAGGGUACUACAGACCAUGGCAGAGAAGUCAGCUUAUAUUCCACACAUGAUGGAAAGCUCCUGAAAGGGUCCAAGCAAGGGAGACACGUGAUCUGAUUCACGUUCUCCACUGUGGGAGCUGCACAGAGAGGGAUUGCAGGGGCAAAGUGGCAGCAGGGAAGCCAGUUAUGAGGAUGCUAUCCGUGCAGAUGGGGACUAGUAGUCAAGAUGUAUUGGCUCAGGUAUAGAACAAGCAUGAGAAUUCCAACUCGGCUGUAUAACCACACACAAGUUACUCCAACGCUUUCAGCCUCAGUUUCUUGUCAGUAAAACCCUCAGACUACUAUUGUGUGGGUUAAAUUACAAACGCACCUGAGGUAUCUGUCAAAAAGUAAGUGUUCAGUGGAUGUUAGCCAUUAUUGUUCUCUUGUUGAGUCAUUGUUGUUGACUGGUGAGGCCCAUGGAGCACUGGGUCCCAGCAUGGGCCUCUCCGUGCUGGGUAGUGUGGCACGCUUCUCUCCCUGACUAGACCUGUAAGUACCCUGGAAACCAGGAAGCUUUUAUUCAUCUUUAUAUCCCCCAAAUUGUGCCUGGCACAUGGUAGAUGUUUAAUAAAUAUUUAUUGAUUAAACUAUCAAGGCAUUUUUGGUUUUUUUGAAAAAAGGAAAGGUAUUAUUCAUUCUGCCAUUUUCACCAGACAUGUUUUGUUUUCAGGGUUGAGGUGGUAUAUUUUGAUGGCACAGACCAUUCUGAAGAUACAGAGGUAGUUGUCUCUAUGGAGAGCUAGUACCUAGUGCCCCCUCUGGUGCAAAGGGAAACUCAGAUACUGCUCCCCAUGAACCUCUAACAUGACAAAAUAUGUCAAUGAUGGUAAUUAUAUAUGAAAUCUGGACUAAAAAGUCACCAUACCCAAGAAAUUCACACAUAUCAGACACCAUCUACGUAUCAAAAAUCUCAGCCACAAAGUGGACCCAAUAAGAGUCAAAAAAUAUUGUUCUUAGUGUCAGGUUGUUUUCAGACUUUUGCUUCGAAACAGUUGGACAUUGUGAUGCUUUGUCCAGCCACAUCAAAGGGAGUCUCUACUUUAUAUCAUUAUCUCGUUUCUUUUAUUGAUUCAUUAUCCUGCCUAGAAAACUAAAAGGACCGCUCCCCAAAUUGAAAUUUCAGAAUUUUUUGUCAAUUUUCUUAUUCUCUGACACACCAUGACCAAGAAAGACUGGAAAUCUACCCUUCAUAAGGAGUUAAUUUUCUCAUCAUAAAAUGAUCCAUACUGUCUAAACAACUGUUUCAAAUGAAAUUAAGUAUGAUAGACACAUUUGCAAAUGGCAUAUGAUAUCCAUAAAGUAGUUGCAUACUUUGUGACAUUUUUAUUUUUCAAAAAAGAGGUUUUAAUGCCAGAAGGGUUGUACAAUACAGAAUUAUAAAACCCUGGAAGGGCCAACUCCAAUGACAUGUUACUAGGUGUAUAUCAUCUGUGUAUUCACAGUGCUAUAUGUGUCCUUCCUGUGCAUUUAUCACUAUAUCAAAAACAUUAAUUAGAAUUUUUUUUAAAUCAAAGUAAGACUGAGAAAAAUGUCUCAGUAGUAGUCACCAAAUCUAGCAGUCCUAUGCAAACUUAGUAAUUUAGCCAACAAACUCCAAAAGUACAGGAAACUUAAAAGAAGAAAAAGAUUUAAAACAACACAAUAUUAAAGAUGAGAAUCCCCUACAAUAGUGAAGGAAAAGGUGGAAAUCCUUGAAACAUCAGUGAGCAGCCAUGAGGAGGUAGUUGUGUGUGUGUGUGUGUGUAUGUGUAUAUGUGUGUGUGUGUGUGUGUGUGUGUGUGUUUUUAACAGGAAGCCUGGCAUCUCACAAAUAACGUAUGUUGCAUAUUAUGUGGCAGUUGCUAUAGUAACAACCUUUAUUUUCUGAAACAGUACACAGAUGUGUACAACAUACUAACUUGCUGGUUAUAAAUUACGGCUUUUCCCAUAGUUCAAUAACUUAAGAAUUCUACGUUUUUGAAAUCUCAGAAGUUCUGUUGUUAUUCAAUUUCUUUUAUGAGAUAAUUUUCCUUGUACUUUCAAAAUGAGAGCAUUCUGAGACAGGCUGAGAGAAAGAAGGGAUGAGAAAAUGGGGGAUAUCAGAGAGUAACAACAGAGUGAGGACUGUUUCCUAUGAAGUCUGGAUGGAACCCACUGACUGAAAUGAGAACAUUAUUUUAAUGAAUUAGGCAUCAUGUACAAUAGUGAUGAGAAAGAAGUUGCUAGCAAAAUGAUGUUACAAAUAAAGUUAUGAAUUGAUUUUUUAUUACAAGGUGCCAUAUUUAUAGUUUUAAAAUAAACGGAGAUUAUUUCUUACAAAUGUCACAAACAUUAAUAUAAUUUUAUAAGCUACAACAGUGUGGGGGAGUGAAUUAGCCUGGUUACCUGACUUCAAAUGAAGUUUUUUUGAAUCUUCAUUCAAGGCCUGAGUCUGGGAAAAAAUGUAUAUUCCUAUUUUCAUAAGAGAUUAGCAUCCCUUUGUCAGGUUACAAAACAGAAGAUAGAUUUUUACUGGGUGGGAUAUUUUUCUUUUCAUAUUUUAACCAUAAUCAACAAAUAUUUAUCACGUGCUUUGUACAUGCAGGGAGCUAACUAUCUGUGCCUAGAUGUGCAUAGAUACGUGUAGAAACACAAAUUAUAGAAAAAUUGAGUUCUGUAGAUGGUUCUUUUCUGAUUCUAAAUAUUUACAUAUGUUUUCCAUGUGCUGGAUCUGAACAUUUUCUUUAAUAGACAGUUCACACUGUAGAGUUUUAAACCUUGUCAAAAAGAGCAAUCUCUGCAGGAUUUGUCACGCUAAAGUUUAUUACCUGGGAAACACAUUUGAAAAUAAGGUUAUAUAGUUAACAUUUAUAGUUAAAAGCCAACUUUCUACAAUUUUAGAUAGGUAAGUAGGUAGGUAGGUAGGUAGGUAGGUAGAUAAAUAGACAGAUAUAGAUAUAAGGAAGGGUGCAAGGAUCCUCAUAUAGAAAGUAAAAAAAGACCCCUGAUUGAGAAAGUCCAGACCUUACAAUGCUACUAAAUUUACCUAACAAACACCAAACACUCAGAAAUGCUAUUUCAAGUGACAAUACAGUCACAUUCAAAUGAAAAAUUGUCUUAUAGCUGCAAUGGCACAGGAUGAGAAACACUGAACACAGUGCAGAUAAGAACAAAUCAUUUUGAAAAGCUUGCACCAGUAAGUGGCUGUUAAAAUUUUUGCUAAUGCUUUCCACACACACACACACACACACACACACACACACACACACACUCCUUUCCGUAUCAUUCUGAGAUAUAUUAAAAACAGGACCAUGACUAAUCCAUUCAAGUCCUUACGUUAUCAGAGAGAAAAGAGAGAGAGAGGGAGAGUUAAGUUAUCACCUGAUGGGGGCUUAGAGCCUAGAACUGGGAACCCAAAAGAAAAAGAGUACUUCACUGGUAGCUGCAUUUUAAAAGUAUUACUUAAAUUACAUUUAAGUCAUCAGACAAUUAUGAACUUUCUUCUCUUUUAUAUUUAUAUGGCAUAUUUAUUGAAUUGCACAGUAUGCUUUUACAAUAAAGUGCUUUUUACGUUGCCGCCUUUGUUCAUCCAAAAUAAAACUGACAGUUAUCCUUUUAUAAGCUAUUCCGAGAACAUUUUCUCUUCUUUGAAGCUGAUUGAUGCACUACUUUAAAUGUUCCUGCAAAUAUCUUUUCAAUUCAAGUUUUUGCAUAAUGUAAUAAGAAGAUAAAAGAAUUCUAUACUUCAACGAGAGACAUUACAAAGCAAGUAGAGACAUUAUCAAGGGCAUUAACAUGCUCCUAAUAGCAAUAAAACCUUUUAACUGUCUGAUGUAGAACACGCUCCCACCAAACCACCACAUAUUAUGGUAAUUGGCUCCAAUUUCUGAAUCUUACAUUGUAAAGUUACAAAGAGUUAGGUGGAACUGAAAAACAAAUCCAGAACACUCAUCUUGUUAGCGUUCCCAUUAUGAAAUGUUUGCUUGCUACCUUGAAGGAGAACUGGUCUGGUCUGUGGAGCUGUUCUUUCACGUGCUAUCAUAUUUUUGCAUCCUGUCUCAUUGUUAUUCCUACUGACUCUGAUAUAAAUACAUAUUUUUCCCCCAAAUAACCCUUUUCUAACUCCAAAACACCAUAGUAAUAUAAAUAGCAUUUUUCUCGGAAUUUCAGUGUAACAAAUGGGUUCUCUGUUCAUGCCUGUGUCACAUCUCAUUCACUUUAUGUGUUCUUUCAUCACAGGAAGAUACAAUAGGGGACAAUAUUCCGCGAGGACGCUUUGAUUUUUCUUUACAACACACCACUAAAUUACGUGAGUAGCCUUUCCAUCGUGGUGGAGAGGAAAUAUAAUUUCAAACUGAAGUUGAGCCCAGUUUCUGUUAAAUUAAAUAGCAAAGAAAAAAAAAUAGUUCUUGGCUUUAUUCUUCUUAGAUGGGGAGCAGGGCAGUAGGGAAUUGACACAAGUCGGUCCUUGGUGAUUAACCUGCAGUUUAUGGUUGUGUUUCCCGGUGACGUGCCCAUCACGCAGGAAGCUUCUCGGAGGCUGUGGAGAGCAGCCUGUCUGCUUUGAGAAGUGCAGAUCUAUCAGGAUCCAGAAUCGGGCUCUGAAAAAGCUGUCAUUUCAUGUCUCUAAAACAGCCUCUGAUUUAAUGUACAAGAUGUCAAGAAGUAAAGGACAAUAAAAUAAAAGCCAAAAAGGAGAACUAUUUCAAUUAAGAAGCAUUUCUAUACCAAUUCUUGGAAAUCACGUAAAAUAAAAACUGUCAGAAUCAA